CCGCGUUUCUUUUUGGUUAGGGCUCUUUUCUUCUCUCAACUCUCUGCAUCAUACUCUCCAGUUCGGCUCCCUCCUCCCUGGCGACUACAAAGGUUUGAACAGUAAGUACUCAAUUCUCUCAACCAUUUCUAACGAAAAGCUUUCCAUUAUCUGCCUAUUUGUUGUUGUUGUUGCUGUUGUUGUUAUUUUACUUGUUUGUUUGUUUUGAACUGGGAAUGGUUGGAGGCUUGUAAUAAUGGAGAUGGAUUAUGGAUAGAUGGAAAGGAUUAGAUUCGUUUUUUUUUGGGUUUUCAAUGUUUAAUAUCUUAUCUUUAGGGCAAAUAUGAUAUGGUUUUGCUUUUUUGUAUCAGGCUUGUUGAAGAUGUUAAUAUGCACAUGUAGAUAAUACAUGGAUUUUAAGUGGGUUUUCAAAGUUUUUGUUCUUUUCAGUUGCAAAGAGCUUUCUUGAUUGAUUCUAUACCUAUGUGGCCUCCCUUAAGAAUUUCAUUUUUAGGGCACAGAUUUACACCUGCAAGUAUGGUGGCCCUGUGAGUUGUGAUGGGUUUUCUGUACUAGGAUUACUUACUCUCAUUAUAAGUUGUUCUGAAAUCUUGAAAUGGAUUUGGAUUACAGAUGGUUGUUGUUCUUCAUCUUGACUAAUUUUUCUUUUCCGUUGGGGGCAAUAUUGAAGGUCAUGUGAAGACCAAUACCUAUUUAGUAAUUUUCAUGUUUCCUGCAGAUGCACAUCUUUAGUUUAACACAUAUAUAUCUGCCCACCCUUAUUGUGUUGUGAAACAUGCGUUUUUCUGUUACUUUUGAUUGGUUCUCUCUUUCUCUUGCUUGAAUUAAGGAAUGGGUGACAAAAAGAAGAAGGCUACCGUUUUCAUCCGACUUGUCUCAGCUGCUGGCACCGGAUUUUUUUAUGUCAAGAGGAAGCCUACUAAGGUGACAGAGAAGCUUGAGUUCCGAAAAUUUGACCCUCGGGUAAAUCGUCAUGUUCUAUUUACAGAGGCAAAAAUGAAAUGAGCAACCUGUCUGUCCAAUAUAGAUGAUUUCAUUGCCUCACCUUGUUUUUAUUUCUGUUGUUGACACUUCGUUUUAAGGUAGAGACCUAACUCCUAAGAAUAUGCAGUCGUUAUUGGUGGUGUCUAUUUUAUCUUGAUGAAAGUUCGUGCUUUCUCUAUCUCAAGUAUAAUAAGUUCAAAUUUUGUUUGGCCAUUCAACUAGUCUUAUGCUGUUCCAGAACAAGGUUGAUUAAAUGUUGAGGAGCUUUUAUUAAGAGUUAAUAUGAUGUGGUUUCUUUUUUUGUAAAGUCAUCAUGCUAUCUCCCCUUUGUCUUCUACGUGAC
rnacentral:lncRNA from 1 species